AAGAAAUAGAAGAUGACGACAUCUUUGUAUAUAAUGAAGGCUUCAAGCACAAACUUUGUAAAAUCAAAAUCAACCAAAUACAAAUGAAAGAAACGCAAGAAGAAAACACAAGUACAACGGAACGCGUGUUCCAGGACAGACAGUACCAAGUGGACGCCGCAAUCGUCCGCAUCAUGAAGACUCGAAAAACACUUACACACAAUCUUCUAAUAUCCGAGCUCUAUAACCAGCUCAAAUUCCCAGUCAAGCCCGCAGAUUUGAAGAAAAGGAUAGAAAGUUUGAUUGACAGAGACUACAUGGAACGUGAUAAAGAUAAUCCAAAUCAGUAUCAUUAUGUUGCUUGAUUCUUAUGGACUAUAUUAGAUGAUGAUAAAACAUUUAUUUGACAGAGAUUGUUUCUGUCCCACAAACACUUUGAUGAUUAUUUCUGUCGGACAUUGAGACAGAUUAUAUCACAGCCAUCUGUCUAACGAACGUUCCAGUGAUACAUUCUGUGCGAUCUGCAUCAUUUCCGUGCUAACAUCAUCAUUGUGUGGAUUUCCUCCAUGCUGUGUUCGUGGAACAUGAUGCUGAGAAGUUGCAGAUGUUAGUUUCUCUGUGUCAUGACAGAACUCCAGAUCAAUGCUGGCAACAGACAUUUCCAGGCCCUUUAGGCCUCGAGGGGCACAGUGUGAUGGUCUGAAUGUAAACACACGAACACAAACAGUAUGAACCUGCUAUUAUACUGAACCAGUCAAUACACUCAUCAAUACUUUAUAGUUAAUAUGUCAAUACAUUCGUUCAGGGCAAGUUAUCAAUCACAUUAUUCUUCAAAUAUUAUCGGGAAUUAUUUUUUCUUAUUAACAACUUAUGCUAUUAUUGUAAAACAUGCAAAAUUUUAUAUUUAAUAUUUGAAGCCUAGACUUGUUUCUCCUGUUAACAUGCUUUACAAUUACUCACAUCAGGUGACUAGGGCCCUGUAUGCGUGUCCGGUUCAACCAGUUCCUUGUGCGUGUCCGGUUCAACCAGUUGGCUUGUUUUUAAAUGUAACAUUUUCGGGUAUAAAUCCUGGCUGACCUGCAAAAGUCUGUGCAUGCCUUGUAAGGUUUUUUUGUCAAUGCUCGCCUGAAAACAGCAUCAGAUUACUGGGUCCGACCUUAUUUCAUAAACAAACAACUCUGGUUUAACUGUUUGGAUUGCGAUAAACGAAUGUGAUCUAGGCCUGUGCUUAGCUGUGAGGUCGUCAGUCACCUCGCAAGUGUUGUGUGUCCUCUGCCUCUUUACGAACAACAUGUUUAAUGCAGAUUAGCAGCUUUUUUCUUAACUCUUCUUAUCAUACCGAAAUUGUCACAUAAUUGAGUCUUGUAUAGAAACACGUUGGUCACAUCUUUGGCUGAAAUUGUUGUUCUUUGUCUUGUUAUCAGAGUAUGGAAUACUAUUUUAAAAAAUUUGUGAUUAACUUCAUCAUUCGACUUGUCUUUGAUGUUCUAGAAUGGUUUUAUACUGUUACCUGGUUUCAUUCGGAGCUUUGUUAUUUCCAUUCUGUAUAAGACUAAUAUAAAUUUCUAGAUUCUCGCUGUGAUCAUAUACUACAUUCAUAUUCAUGCUGAAACAGAUUUCACAGCGGGUUCCAUAUGAAUUAAAGCCUUACAAAAAUGUGAAGUUGGACAAAGCGAACAGUCUUUAAUGUGCUAAUUUAUGCCUCAUAGGAAUUUCAAAUAUUCAGGAUAUUGACUUGUUAUUUUUGAGUAUAACAGUAUGUUUCGGUGCCAUCUAGAUUGUUUUCUCAUUGGAAUUGUUACUGAUAUGGUUGGUUUUGGGGUAGGAAUGCACUUAACAUAGGUUUUCUACUGCACAAUUAACUCACUCACCCAUGACACAUUUGAAAUCUUCCGUUUCAAAGAUUGGAAUAGUUCAUUAUGAAAUUUCAGGGGUGAAUGUGUUAAACAAUAUUCAAGUACGAUUUUCCAAAUCAAAAUAUUGUGCAGCAAAGAGAUCAUCAUUGAAAUUAUUUUUUACUGUUUGUUGUUGAAAAUUUCAUUUCCAAAAUAAAGAGGGUUCUUCAUUAAGUGGAUGUAACGAGAGCUUCGUUUUUUUAAGUUGAAAAUUGUCAUUCCAAAUUAAAUAAGCUUCAACUAGGAGUUGAUCUACCUGAUUCCAAUCAAUCAAUUUUCAUAUUCUUAGCAAGACACAAGGUUUACAAUUUGAAAUUAAUCACGGGGUAAGAAAAUCUGUUUCUACUGUUAUGAUAUAAGUUUCAUAGUGUGAAGUGACAGGAGGUGUCCAGUGAUCCCUCAGAAGUAGUGUUUUGUCGGGACAUCAGACACCACAGCCGCGAGUCCCUUCUGGUUGUGAUAUCAUAAUGUCGAAGCUUCAUUGAAAACCAUUGAAAACCAAUAUAGACUUUUAUGUCCUUUAAACCAAAUGUAGUAUAAUGAAACACUUGUACACAUUAUUGUAUCACCACGCCCCAAACUUCCAUUGUAUAUGGACUCGUCGCUAGAGAAAGAGAGAGAAAAACUGAUUUUUGUAAGUAAGGAGAUCUAUGGGAUGUUUGAGUGUUGAUGGCCAUACAUUUGUACUACCAUAUAUUCAGCAUUAUAAAGUGUAUUUAUUGUAAGCUUGUGUGGAAUUCAGUCUGAACAGUCUACUUCCCACCGACUGACAAAAUGCAGGCAUUUGUGUGACAUACUUUAUAACUGUAGACAAUGGAGUGAUCUGGGUAAUUGGAUUACAAAAUGAAUUGUUGCGUAACAUUUUCAGGAUUUCAGGAAGCAUGAAAUGCUAUAAGUAUCCAGAGAGUUUUCCAAAAUUAUUUAAGUUCCAGACUGUUUUAAUAUUUUGAGAAAUUAAAUAUUGUUCAAUUAUUAUUAUUAUUUAAUUGAUGAGACAUCGUGUGAAUCAAUUUUGACAGUACGGUAAAUGUCAAUAAAUUUAACCCUUUAAAAGUUUUAAUUACAUUUAUUUAAAAAAUAUUAAGAUUUUUUUUAUCACUAAAUUUGACAUAAUUUUGUUUCAAUUUGACCUUGAAAUUCUGAAUAUUGGUUGUUAGGUCUGAUGUUAUUUGGUUUUGAAUGUGGAUUUCUGUAAAUGUUCCAUUUUGUUUGACAUUCUGCAACAUUUACCUUAAAAUGAUCUUCUCAGUAAAUAUGUACCUCAGACUAAGGUCGAGCCUAGAUCUACAUACACAUUGUGUAUUUAUGAUUAAUCUCAUAGUUAUUUUGGUGUUGUUUCAGAUUUGUAUGUGCGAGGUUUCUGUACACAAUAUAGGCACUAUUCUUGGGAAUGACAGUUGCUGAUAAAUAUGGACACAGUUAAAUAUGGUACAAUUUUCUUCUUCUUUGCCUUGAACUUAUGAAAAAAACCUAAUAAACCCCAAAUUUGUGUUUCUACAUUUUCGAAUUGAGUUAAAAUGUAAAUUGUAUAUAUAUGCCAAAAUCAGAAAUCGCAAAAGCAACACAUUCAACUGAGAUCUAGAAGCAAGGGUGAAAAAUGUGUGAUUUACAAGAAUUCAUUUGAAUAUUCAUACAGACUGUUUUUCAAGCAGUGUUUAGGGCUAGAUAUUCAUACAGACUGUUUUUCAAGCAGUGUUUAGGGCUUAAUAUAAUACAGACUGUUUUUCAAGCAGUGUUUAGGGCUUGAUAUUCACAUGCAAAAUCACAAAAGUUUGUCGUUCCAUAUUUAUUUAAGAUGAAAUCGCAUAGUUAUUUUUUACAUGGCACAGAUUUCCAUCCCAUUGUCAGUACUUCUGCAGUUUAUAUGAGACUAGGCCACCCUGUGAUCAUCAACCCAACACCUUUGUAUAAAACAGACUGAACAAUCAGGACUCUUAGUCGCUCCUGUCCUGGUUAGACAACUUAACUUCAAACUACUGUCCCAUUUAGUACAUGUUCAAAAAUAUUGAAAAAUGUAAAAUGACUUUCAUAGCAAGCCCUACUAUACAUACAAGGGAUUUUCCUUUAAAGAUGUGACAAGCACUUCGUUUACUGCAGUGAAAUUAAAGUAAACUAUAGAAGUAUUUACUAACAUACACCCAUAUACUUUUAUUAGUCUCAUUAUGGAAAAGAAGCUAUAAUAUACGACCCGACAUCUCGAUAUCAUGCUCCUCAAUAUUUCAUCUCUCUUUACUUUUUAGGGUUGGUUGUUUUGCAGCCAUACUUUUGGAAACAGUUUCUUUCAAUUAAUCUUUAUGCAGAGAUAUAAAAAAAAACAAAAAAAAAACAUGUCAUAUCUUCUAAUAGACAAUUUUUCCCCAUUUAUCAUUUGUACAAAUUUGUCUAGACCUGUCGGAGUAGAAAACACAGCAAUUUUUUUUCUCUUUUAUUACUUAGGUAACAGUACCGUCGAACUUGUGAGAACACAUGUGCAUUCAACUUGAUCAUGAACAAUUAGUUUUUGUACAUUUUUCUGAAUUUCAAUGUGACAUACAAAUUAUAUGUAAAGUGAAAGUAGAGAGUGUUGGAGUGCACAAUAUGUAAGAAUGUCAUAAGGUCAGUCGUUUUUGUGUCUUAUAACAGAAAUAAAAUGCUCAAAAACCUGUUGUAUUGAGCUACAUUUAGCUUCACAUACAUUCACAUUUAGUUGUUAAAUUCAGGUAAAUCUUAAUGUUCUAUCAAUAAGAUUAACUGAAAAAAUACACAUGGAAAUACACAUACUCUUAUGCAGAUUUGGAUGUUGAAUGGGGAUAUUUAUUGUUGUGUAACAAAUUCAGAUCAGGAGAAUUUUGUUUGAAAAUUUCACUUCAUUCUUCUUAUGCUGAUGACACUUGUUUGCAUUCUUUCACAAACUUUUUUGAUGAAUCUGAUUGAAAGUGCUAACAAAUGAAACGUUCCCUCCAUUUAGUGCUAGGAUUCUACCAUGCAGUACUAGUUUGGCUAAAUAAAUACUUUCCUGGACCAUUAUUUUUUUUCCACAAAUUUUACAAAUGAGAUGAGGGACAAUGCAUUGUGUUUGUUAUCUUACUUUAUCACUCCGAGGAAAGGAACUUGAUGAGUACAAAUAGACCGCGAUCUCAAACUUUAUACUCGGUGAAUGAGUUAAAUGAGUCACCAACAUUCUGUUCAGGUAUUACCAGGAAUUGUAACUGAUGUAUUAAACGUGAAUGGUGUAUGUGUAUAACAAGUACAGGGUGGUUAUUUACUUUAUGUGUUUUGGGAAUUUAAAUUUGUACAUAUCAGAUAACCGUAAACAAUGUAUCUUAAUUAUCCUUAGAGGAUGUAAAAAUAUGUUGUGAUUAAAAAUAUGUGAAACGAACAUUUCCUGGACAAUUAACGCCCGUUGGAUUGAGUAGUGGAAUGUGUGACACAAAGUCAUUAACUCACGGGAUAUAUCUUUUCAUAUAACUCAUGAAAUAUUUGAUGAAUUUUUAUGAUACAAAUGUACAAACUAUAUGAUAUGGAAAAAUAGAUGGUUUGAUAGUAUAAUCAUAAAAAAAAAUAACAUUGCUCAAAAGCUUGGCUUCCAAGUGGAUUUUCACCUUGUAAAUUUAUUUUUCAAAUAUUUGCAAUUAUUCGCAAACUUUUGUGAAAUAUUUUUUUCUGAAGAUGGUAAAAAGCUACCUCCCUCACGUGUUAAUUUUGUAUACCAUGUCUAUUUCAGAUUCUGCAUAUUUCUAUCUUGGAUCUUGUUACCAUAUCAUAUUCGGAGAUGAAAUAUAUUGUUUGUAUCAUGAAAAUUUGUCAAAUACAUUGCAUUCACGAGUAAUCCAAAAAUAUACAUUACCUGAAUGAUCUUGUCCAGCUUAUAUUUAAUGAUUGGUCAUUAGCAUACUUGAUACUUAUCCUUAUGAUAACAGUUUAUUGGAAUUUUUAUCUUUCUGAGAAAGAUAUGGGUGACGUUCCUACAGAGCUGGUGUGUCUGUGUAGUAUUUAUAGGUAACUGUUGUCGGGUGUGAGAUACGAUACUAGCUCGCUGGUGUUCUGUGCUAAGUGAUAUUUUCAGGAAUUGUAUACAUAUGAAAAUGAAAAAUAUUGAUCAGAAUUAAAAAUCUUAAAAUGCAAUGACA